GAGAGCGGCGUGUGGUGACGCGCGGGCGGGCGGGCGCGCCGCGGGCGCCGGCGGGCGGGUUUGAAUCUGGUCCGAGCGCGGGAAACGGCGGGUCCGGGGGACGAGAGUAAAUGCCUUAUGAAGAACAGUUUCGUUUGUCAUGGAAAAACGUGAGACAUUUGUACAAGUGGUAUCUAAGGAGCUGAUUGAAGAAUUUUUGCAAUUCAUUCAACUUGAUAAAGAUGCUUCUGACCCUUUCAACUUAAAUGAAUUACUAGAUGAAUUAUCAAGGAAACAGAAGGAAGAGCUAUGGCAACGUCUCAAGAGUUUAUUGACAGAUGUGUUGUUAGAGAGCCCUGUGGAUGGGUGGCAGGCAGAGGAAGCCCAGGGUGAAGAUAAUAUGGAAACAGAGUGUCGUGCAAAAAUGAAAAAAAACAUAGAAAUAAUUCAUGCAAUUACAUCUGUGAUUCUUGCUUCUGUGUCUGUAAUAAAUGAAAAUGAGAACUAUGAAGCCUUACUGGAAUGUGCUGUCAUAUUAAAUGGUAUUUUAUAUGCGUUACCUGAAUCUGAACGGAAGCUGCAGAGUUCCAUUCAGGAUCUGUGUGUUAUGUGGUGGGAGAAAGGCCUGCCUGCCAAAGAAGACAUGGGGAAGACGGCUUUUAUCAUGCUGUUAAGGAAGAGUCUCGAGACUAAAACAGGUGUUAACAUAUGUCGGCUUUGGCAUAUUCAUCAAGCUUUAUAUUGCUUUGAUUAUGAUUUGGAGGAAAGUAGAGAAAUUAAAGAUAUGCUACUUGAGUGCUUCAUAAAUGUUAAUUAUAUCAAGAAAGAAGAGGGGAGAAGAUUUCUUAGUUCUCUCUUCAAUUGGAAUAUAAGUUUUAUUAAAAUGAUCCAUGGGACCAUUAAGAACCAGUUACAGGGAUUACAAAAAUCUUUGAUGGUACACAUUGCAGAAAUUUAUUUCAGAGCUUGGAAAAAGGCUUCAGGGAAAAUAUUAGAGACAAUUGAAAAUGACUGCAUCCAGGACUUCAUGUACCACGGGAUUCACCUCCCCAGGAGGUCCCCAGUGCACUCCAAAGUGCGCGAGGUGCUGAGUUAUUUUCACCAUCAAAAGAAAGUUCGGCAGGGAGUGGAAGAGAUGCUUUAUAGAUUAUAUAAGCCCAUCCUUUGGAGAGGAUUAAAGGCCAGAAACUCUGAAGUCCGGUCAAAUGCUGCACUGUUGUUCGUUGAAGCAUUUCCUAUUAGGGAUCCUAACUUUAAUGCUGUUGAAAUGGAUAGUGAAAUUCAGAAGCAAUUUGAAGAACUCUAUAGCCUUUUAGAAGAUCCUUAUCCGAUGGUCCGUUCCACAGGGAUCCUUGGUGUUUGUAAAAUAACUUCCAAAUACUGGGAAAUGAUGCCUCCAACCAUUCUUAUUGAUCUCCUCAAGAAAGUAACUGGGGAACUGGCAUUUGAUACGAGCUCAGCUGACGUACGCUGCUCUGUCUUUAAGUGUCUGCCGAUAAUUUUGGAUAACAAAUUAAGCCACCCAUUAUUAGAACAGCUUUUGCCAGCACUAAAAUACAGUCUCCAUGACAAUUCAGAGAAAGUGAGAGUGGCUUUUGUUGAUAUGCUGCUGAAGAUUAAAGCCGUGAGGGCUGCUAAGUUUUGGAAAAUAUGCCCCAUGGAGCAUAUUUUGGUUCGCCUGGAAUCGGAUUCCCAGCCUGUGUCUAGGCGCCUGGUGAGCCUCAUCUUUAACUCGUUCCUGCCCGUGAACCAGCCCGAGGAGGUGUGGUGUGAGCGCUGCGUCACCCUGGUCCAGAUGAACCAUGGAGCCGCCAGGAAGUUCUACCAGCACGCCCACAGGCACACCGCCUGCACGAACAUAGCAAAGCUGAUUCAUGUGAUUCGCCAUUGCUUAAAUGCCUGCAUACGGAGGGCGGUAAGAGAGCAGCAAGAGGACCAUGCUGAGAGGGAGAAGGAGAAGGAGAAUGCGAGUGUUCUGGACAAAACACUGUCAGUAAGCGAUGUUGCAUCCAUGGCAGGUUUAUUAGAAAUCGUUGUGAUUCUAUGGAAGAGCAUUCACAGAAGUAUGGAAAACAAUAAAGAGGCCAGAGUUUACACCAUUAACAAGUUUGCCUCUGUGCUCCCUGAGUACCUGGAAGUGUUCAAGGAUGAUCGGUGUAAGAUCCCUUUGUUCAUGCUGAUGUCCUUCAUGCCUGCUUCUGCUGUGCCUGCAUUCAGCUGUGGUGUGAUUUCCACGUUAAGAAACCAAGAGGAAGGAGCAGCAGACAAGAGCUACUGCACUUUGUUAGACUGUCUCUGCUCCUGGGGACAAGUGGGACACAUUCUGGAACUCAUCUGUGACUGGCUGCCAGAUGAGCAGCCCCAGAGUAAGAGUAACUCAGUGUCUAAACGUAAAGUGCAAAUCCGUGAUACACGCCCAGUCAAACCCGAAUUGGCGUUGGUUUACAUAGAGUAUCUGCUGACCCAUCCGGAGAAUCGAGAGUGCCUGCUAUCGGCUCCCCGAAAGAAGCUUAACCAUCUUUUGAAAGCACUUGAAACGUCCAAGGUGGAUCUGGAAUCAAUUUUGCAAUUGCCAGGUGUGAAACCUCACAACUUUAAUGAAGCAACUGCCCUGCGAGCCUUCAGCCUCUAUUGUCGGUUGAGUAUUCAUCUUCAGCACAAGUUCUGCUCAGAAGGAAAGGUUUACCUGUCCCCUUUGGAAGACACUGGGUUUUGGUUAGAAAGCAAAGUUUUAUCUUUUAUCCAAGAUCAAGAAGAAGAAUAUCUGAAGCUUCAUAGGGUCGUUUAUCAGCAAAUUAUCCAGACCUACCUGACCGUGUGUAAAGAUGUUGUUAUGGUUGGCCUUGGCGAUUGUAAGUUUCAGAUACAGCUUUUACAGUGGAGUCUUGGAAUCAUGCAAACAGUGAAGGGAUUCUUUUAUGUUUCACUACUUCUUGGCAUUCUGAAAGAGGUAACUGGAAGUUCCUUGAUGCAGAAAACAGAUUCAGACAAAGAAGUUGCAACCCUGUUUGAUACGGUCCAGAAAGUAUUUCAGAAGAUGCUGGAAUGCAUGGCAUGGAGCUUCAGGAAGCAACCGGAAGAAGGCCUGCGGCUCCUUUAUUCUGUUCAGACGCCUCUUCAUGAGUUUAUAACCACCGUUCAGUCUUGGCACGUGGGCUCGCCUGUUCACCGGGGCGUGCUUUCAACUCUGAUUGCUGCCUCUGUGGUGGAGAUAAGUCACCGACUACGAAAGGUUUCUGAUAUAGAAGAGCUAACCCCAUCAGAGUGUCUUUCAGACCUGCCACCAUUUUCAAGGUGUUUAAUAGGAAUAAUAAUAAAAUCUCCGAAUGUGGUCAGGUCAUUUUUAGAUGAAUUAAAGACAUGUGUUACUUCGGAUGACAUUGAAGGCAUUGUGUGUCUCACAGCUGUCACGUAUAUCAUUUUGGUGAUUAAUAAAGGUAAACAUAAGAGUUCAAAAGUGAAGGAUGUUGCAGCCACUGUUCACAGAAAACUGAAGACGUUUAUGGAAAUUACUUUGGAAGAGGAUAGCAUAGAAAGAUUUCUCUAUGAGUCGUCAUCAAGAACUUUGGGAGCACUUUUGAAUUCAUAGCCAAGCCAACAUCUUUGGUCAUGUAAAAAUAGAGAAAAAGGACUUACAGAAAAAUGAAACGAGUGCUGCUUCACUGGAUGUUGAGAUGGGCCCCAUGGCUGUAAACAGGAGGAAUGCAGAACUGAGUCAUUCAGCCUGAAGCUGAGCCACCACUAUUUUAUUUUUUCUUUACGAGAGCAGUUACAGUGCUGACGGAGGACUGGCCCCAGGCCUCCUAGAUACAUCGUCUGUGACCCCAUCUCUUCUGUCCCAGGUUACCAGGUGGUCUGCAUGUUCUUAUCCCUGUCAGCCACAAGUCCUAAGUCAUGGCCAGUCAGCAUCCUGUGGCCUGUUAGGCCACCUUAUGACAGAUGGGAAGUGAGUGCUGCUUCAAUCACAAGCUCAUUCUGUCCCCAGCCCCCAAGCGAAAAAGUAAGAAGUACCAAUUUUUCAUUGCCUCUGUUUCUCUAAGGUACAGAAAGGGGCCACUUACUGCAGUUAUGAGCAGUUAGGGUAAGGUUUUACUGAGGGAUAAUCUGAGGAAUUGGGAGGUGGGGGUUGCUUGUUUUAGGCAAUCUUUGAACAUAUGACUUUCCAGAGAUCUUUGCUAACUCAGCUGUAUUCUGGAUUGGUGAGUGUAAUUUUUUUUCUUUUUUGCCCUUGUCCUUGUUUGAUUUAGUAUCAAGAAUUGUCAAGCCUCAUAAAAUGAACUAAGGAGUGUUCUAUGUUUUUAUAUUCCUGGAAGAAUUUGUGUAAGAUUAGAAAUAGUUCCUUGGAUUUGUUGUAACAUUAACUGUAAAAUUAUCUGAGCUUGGUAUUUUCUUUGUGGGAAGAAUUUAAUUAGUUUUUUACAUUUAGAUACGAGUUUUCGGAGUAGUCAAGUUUUCUCUUUUAUCUUGUGUCAGUCUUGAUGGUUGAACUAAUCCAAUUUGUGAAAAAGUACAAUUCAGUUUUUCAUGGGGCAAAAUAGUUUGUGAAUCUCCUCUAGGCAUACACCCCAGAGAGACUCCUGUGGACGUGCAUGAGGAGACUCGAGGAAGGACACUCGGCAUCAGUGUUUGCCACAGCAGAGUGGAAACAGUCACAUUCCCUUCAGUGGGAGAGUGGGCAAGGCAGCUGGGGCAGCCACAGCUCCCACUUCCCUGGGGAUGACAGGGCGAGGUGGGCGGUCACCUCAGGAGCAUGAUGUUGAGGAAAAGAGUUUAGUCAGGAUAAUAUUUUAUGAUUCUGUUUAUGUAAAGUUCAAAAACAUGCAAAACUGAACACUGUAUUGCUUAUGCUCACGUGUGAUAAUAUGUCAAUGUUUAACAAGGAAAAGAUAAAACAA